GCCCCUGUAGUUAAAUGGAUAGAACGAAGGUUUCCUAAACCUUUGAUCCGGGUUCGAUUCCCGGCGGGGGUACCA
rnacentral:tRNA from 1 species